CUCCAGCCCCUCCCGCAGCAUGUUUGGGCUUAGCCUCCUCCUUUCCGCCUGCGUUGGAUGGAGACGUUCCCGGUACCAGAAGGAAUGAAAGGACUGGGGCUGGUCUCCAUGGCAACUGAUAGAAAGGAGCUUCCAUCCAAGUCUGUGAGUGCUCAUCAUUUCUGAAGAAUCAAAGUAUCAUCUUCAUCAUCCCUUGGCUUGCAAGAUGAACUCCAACAUCAAAACACUUGAAACAGUAGUAUUUUUACAAUUUACCCACUGCCUUUACAUCUCACUUAGUCCUUCCAGUAACAUUUGGAUGAUGAGGCAACUUAUCCAGAAGCACAAAGCCUAAAGAAUGACAGAGCCUGGACUCCUAAGAAAUUCAGCUACUGCCAACCUUAAUAUAAUCAAAAGAAGGCACAGCAGAAGUUGGAGAGCAGCCUGGGCAACGGAGAGAAACCCCCACUUCUACAAAAAAAUUAAAAAGUUAGUCCAGGCACAGUGGCUGACACCUGUGAUCCCAGCACUUUGGAAGGCUGAAGCGGGCGGAUCACUGGAAGUCAGGAGUUUGAGACUAGCCUGGCCAACAUGGUGAAACUCUGUCUCUACUAAAAAUACAAAAAUUAGCUGGGUGUGGUGGCACACACCUGUAAUCCCAGUUACUCUGGAGGCUGAGGCAGUAGAAUAGCUUGAACUCGGGAGUCAGAGGUUGCAGUGAGCCAAGAUUGCUCUGCACUCCAGCCUGGGCAACAGAGCGAAACUCAACCUCAAAAAAAUAAUUUAAAAAAAUUUUUAAUUAAAAAAUUAGCUGGGAAGGCCGGGUGCGGUGGCUCAAGCCUGUAAUCCCAGCACUUUGGGAGGCUGAGGCGGGUAGAUCACGAGGUCCAGAGAUCGAGACCAUCCAGGUCAACAUGGUGAAAACCCGUCUCUACUAAAAAUACAAAAAUUAGCUGGGCGUGGUGGCGCGUGCCUAUAAUCCCAGCUACUCAGGAGACUGAGGCAGGAGAAUUGCCUGAACCUGGGAGGCGGAGGUUGCGGUGAGCCGAGAUCGCGCCAUUGCACUCCAGUCUGGGUAACGAGCGAAACUCCGUCUCAAAAAAAAAAAAAGUAGCUGGGUAUGGUGGUGUACACCUGUGGUUCCAGCUACUGGAGAGACUGAGGCAGGAGGCUCCCAUGAGCCCAAGAGGUUGAGGUCAUAGUGAACCAUGAGCAUUCCAGCCUGUGUGACAGUGAGACUGUCAAAAAAGCAUAGGUUCAGUGAAACUCCAAUAAAUUACUGAAACGUUUUUUUCUCUUAA